GACGAACGCUGGCGGCGUGCUUAACACAUGCAAGUCGAACGGAAAGGCCCUGCUUUUGUGGGGUGCUCGAGUGGCGAACGGGUGAGUAACACGUGAGUAACCUGCCCUUGACUUUGGGAUAACUUCAGGAAACUGGGGCUAAUACCGGAUAGGAGCUCCUGCUGCAUGGUGGGGGUUGGAAAGUUUCGGCGGUUGGGGAUGGACUCGCGGCUUAUCAGCUUGUUGGCGGGGUAGUGGCUUACCAAGGCUUUGACGGGUAGCCGGCCUGAGAGGGUGACCGGCCACAUUGGGACUGAGAUACGGCCCAGACUCCUACGGGAGGCAGCAGUGGGGAAUAUUGCACAAUGGGCGGAAGCCUGAUGCAGCAACGCCGCGUGCGGGAUGGCGGCCUUCGGGUUGUAAACCGCUUUCGCCUGUGACGAAGCGUGAGUGACGGUAAUGGGUAAAGAAGCACCGGCUAACUACGUG
rnacentral:rRNA from 1 species